GGAGGCAGGGCGAGGGUAGAGGUGUGCUGGGGAAGGGGUCGGUGAGGUGGGCCUUGAUGCGUCUCUAAACCAUAGCUCCUGCAUGAGUUCCACGAGCUAGAUAGGAGCUCCCGAGACAAAAGGCAGAGAAGUUGAAGGUUGCGACAAAAUGAUGAGAAACCACCGGUUUUGUUUUUCUUAGAGGGAGAAGGGAGCCCGUCUAGAAAUUCUUGGAGAAUUGUUUUUUAG
rnacentral:lncRNA from 1 species